rnacentral:rRNA from 1 species
UACGGGAGGCAGCAGUGGGGAAUAUUGCACAAUGGGGGAAACCCUGAUGCAGCAACGCCGCGUGAGUGAUGAAGGUCUUCGGAUUGUAAAGCUCUGUCUUUUGGGACGAUAAUGACGGUACCAAAGGAGGAAGCCACGGCUAACUACGUGCCAGCAGCCGCGGUAAUACGUAGGUGGCAAGCGUUGUCCGGAUUUACUGGGCGUAAAGGGUGCGUAGGCGGAUGUUUAAGUGAGAUGUGAAAUACCCGGGCUUAACUUGGGUACUGCAUUUCAAACUGGAUAUCUAGAGUGCAGGAGAGGAGAAUGGAAUUCCUAGUGUAGCGGUGAAAUGAGUAGAGAUUAGGAAGAACACCAGUGGCGAAGGCGAUUAUCUGGACUGUAACUGACGGUGAGGCACGAAAGCGUGGGUAGCAAACAGGAUUAGAUACCCUGGUAGUUCACGCCGUAAACGAUGAAUACUAGGUGUAGGAGGUAUCGACCCCUUCUGUGCCGCAGUUAACAC